rnacentral:rRNA from 1 species
CCCGCUCAGAAACUUAAAGGAAUUGACGGGGGCCCGCACAAGCGGUGGAGCAUGUGGUUUAAUUCGACGAUACGCGAAGAACCUUACCCGGGUUUGACAUUGUAUCGAAGCAUCCAGAGAUGGAUGUGUCUCUUCGGAGACGGUAUGACAGGUGCUGCAUGGCUGUCGUCAGCUCGUGUCGUGAGAUGUUGGGUUAAGUCCCGUAACGAGCGCAACCCCUACCUUUAGUUGCCAUCAGGUAAUGCUGGGGACUCUAAAGGAACUGCCUACGCAAGUAGUGAGGAAGGCGGGGAUGACGUCAAAUCAGCACGGCCCUUACGUCCAGGGCUACACACGUGCUACAAUGGCCGAUACAGAGGGCAGCUACCUGGUGACAGGAUGCAAAUCUCCAAAGUCGGUCUCAGUUCGGAUCGGAGUCUGCAACCCGACUCCGUGAAGUUGGAUUCGCUAGUAAUCGCGCAUCAGCCAUGGCGCGGUGAAUACGUUCCCGGGCCUU